rnacentral:rRNA from 1 species
UACGAAGGGGGCUAGCGUUGCUCGGAAUCACUGGGCGUAAAGGGUGCGUAGGCGGGAUCUUAAGUCAGAGGUGAAAGCCUGGAGCUCAACUCCAGAACUGCCUUUGAUACUGGGAUUCUUGAGUUCGGAAGAGGUAAGUGGAACUGCGAGUGUAGAGGUGAAAUUCGUAGAUAUUCGCAAGAACACCAGUGGCGAAGGCGGCUUACUGGUCCGAUACUGACGCUGAGGCACGAAAGCGUGGGGAGCAAACAGG